rnacentral:rRNA from 1 species
GGUCUGUGAUGCCCUUAAGAUGUUCUGGGCCGCACGCGCGCUACACUGAUGAAAGUCAUCGAAGUUCAUUUCCUUUAUCGGGAAGAAUAUGGGGUAAUCUUUUGGAAACUUCAUCGUGCUGGGGGAUAGAAGCCAUUGCNAAACUAUUGCUCUUGNAACGAGGGAAUCCCUUAGUNAAGUACAAGUCACUAAGCUUGUGGCUGNAUUACGUCCCUGCCCUUUGUACACACCGCCCGGUCGCUACUAACCGGAAUUGGAAUGGCUUAGUGAAGGCCUUCGGGNAUUGAAAAUUCGGGAAGAACUGGGCNAACCAAGNACUCUUGGUUUUGAAAAGUUGGUCAAAACUUGGUCAUUUAGAGGAAAGUAAAAAAGUCGUAACAAGGUUUUCCGUAGUGAACCUGCGGGAAGGGAUCAUUUA